UACGGAGGAUCCGAGCGUUAUCCGGAAUUAUUGGGUUUAAAGGGUGCGUAGGCGGCCGAAUAAGUCAGGGGUGAAAGGCGUCAGCUCAACUGUCGCAGUGCCUUUGAUACUGUUUGGCUUGAAUGUGGUUGAAGAUGGCGGAAUGAGACAAGUAGCGGUGAAAUGCAUAGAUAUGUCUCAGAACACCGAUUGCGAAGGCAGCUAUCUAAGCCGUUAUUGACGCUGAUGCACGAAAGCGUGGGGAGCAAACAGG
rnacentral:rRNA from 1 species